rnacentral:other from 1 species
CAUCCCCUGCGGUGUUCGACACCGGGCCACGUUAUCUUGAGCCGACAAUCUACGCCCCGGGGGCCGUAGCGUGGCGAACCUGGUGCGCAUGUCCGCCACCGUGCGGAAAGCCUGAAGGGUCGUCCCUCGCCCCCACCUGAACCUAACGGUUCAAGGGCGACGCCCGAACGGCACCAGCGGGGGGUGU